GCAAGCAUCAAGCAGGCUGGAUUAUUUUCACUGGUAACAAGGAGAGAUUCAACCAGAGAAGCAAGAAGAAGGAGUAAGGAAAGCAGCCACACCAAUGUGGGAAGAUGGGUGCUCCUGUAAGUUUGGUGCUGAACAAGGAUGAAAUAGAGUUAUGAAUGAACAUGUGCAAAACUAGCCUGAAUUGGAAAUAGAUAAAUCUCUUUCACCAGGUGAGGCUGUCGACGUGCUGAAUCGAUGUCUGGCUGCGACAAUGGACUGGAUGAGAGCUAACAAACUGAGGCUUAAUCCAGACAAGACUGAGAUGCUGCUGGUGGGUGGUUCUCCUGACCAGAUGGUGGAUGUUCGACCUGUUCUGGAUGGGGUUGCACUCCCCCUGAAUGCUCAGAUUCGUAGCUUGGGAGUUCUUUUAGAUCCAUCCCUGUCGCUGGAGGCUCAGAUAGCCUCAGUGGCAUGGGGUGCUUUUUACCAACUUUGGCUGGUGGCCCAGCUACGUCCCUAUCUGGAUAGAGAGAACCUCGCUUCAGUAGUUCAUGCGCUGGUAACCUCGAAAUUAGAUUACUGCAAUGCGCUCUACGUGGGGCUGCCUUUGAAGACGGUUCGGAAACUGCAGCUUGUGCAGAAUGCAGCGGCCAGAUU